rnacentral:lncRNA from 1 species
CGCACAAUAAAAACGAAAGUUUUGAAAGUUCUUCUUGAAGUCCUUUUGAAUCCCCAAUGACCCAAUGGCCCCGGGGUCGUGCGGCCCUCUUUCCCUAGGCUCCUCCCCCCCCCUCCGGGACCCGGAGCCGAAGAAGCGGUUACAGAUUACUGACAGACGGGAGCCACUUGUCCGUUGGUGUCCCGUCAGUGUCGCCCGCAGGGGGCUGCAUGGGGGUGAUAUGUGUGCGGUCUGGCAUCGCCCUCACCCAACUAACCCGCUGGGGGCAGGAUACAUUGACGUGCGCAAGAUGAUGUACACACAUUUGUGCAUGUGUGUACACAUAAAUAUAUGCACAUACAUACAGACUGGUAGUACAUUAUCUUGAAUUAUUUACAGGGUUCAGGGGGUUUGCAAAAAAGUGUACACACACGUACACACAGACAUAAUACAUGUACAUGCACACACACGCACUGCCCUCACAGCUCGGAAAGGUACACAACCCCUCCCUUACCUUGACCAAUCAACACCUAAAGCUCAAAAAAUAAUCAGCUCGCGGAGGAGGACAUUGAGGAGAUGGAGGACCGUCACAGAGCCGAAUAGGAAAAGUCGGAUGUUGAGAAGCGACAAAGCAACCCGGGUAUUCAGAGGUCCACACCACCACCAUCACCACCACCACCACCACCACCACCAUCGCCACUACAACGAUGCGGUUCAUGAUGACUUCUUCCCCCCCCCCAGAACCCCGCAGCUGCCGAGAGCACACUGGCUCCGCCCCACCUUCCGCCAUCGGCAGUGGCGGUGGGGGUGGGCGGAUCCACGUCGCCCGGCACAUACCCGGCCGCACCUCCCUACCAAGCUGGGCGGUGGAGGUAGCGGCCUCGCAAGGUGAAAGGCGGUGCCGAGGUCAUUAAGCGGGUGCUCGCCGGCAGGGUUGCUUCACCUGCGUGGGCGUGAAUGGUAACAACACAGGCAUACAUACAUACAUGCACACGCACACACACACACACACAUCACCCGUAGUGGACGUGCCAGCCGGCAGCAGUAACAGAAACAGUAGCAGCAGCACCGGGUCCAUGCACCGCGUGGUGAUGGUGUGGUGGUGGUGGUGGCGCGGUUGAGGGCGGGCGAAUGGCAGGGGGCCAGGGCGGGGGAAGAGGGGAGGCUGUAGGUUGGUGUGGGGGCUGGUUUGGAGGAGGGUUGCCCAGACAUCCACCAUAAGCCCGAUGAAUGAGCUCUUGAAAGCUCUUGAAUGAGAUCAGGGGUGCUUAUGGAUGCCUGUAUUAACAAGAGCUUGUCCGUCUGUUUGCCUGUCUGUCUGUCUGUCUGUCUGUCUCUUUGUCUAUCUGCACUGUAACAGUGCAAAUGAUUGUGACGAGGUGGCGGCAGUGGGAGACUGGCCCCGCGCACGGCCUGGCAGGGAGCGAAGGUACGGCAGUCCGCUGGCAGGAUAGCAGCGAGGCGGUAGGUGGCGUAUGAAUAAGCGUAGGGGUUGCGGGUGCGGCUCACCUUCCCGGUAUGUGGAGAGUAGCCCCUACGCUAAGUACAUGCUAACCGGCGCGCUUGCUGCGAGUAGGAUGCCCAGAGGCAGCUGUGGAGUGUUGGGCCGGGGGCCUGUAUGCGCAGCUGUACUGGAAGGCUUGCUCGCAUGACGCCGGCUGCCCCAUGCAUUGCCGGAAUGCAUUACUGAUGCCUCGUGCAGUUGCCUGGCGCCGGACGGGCAAGAAGCGGGCCGGUUUAAAAUAGAAUCGCGAUGCCCGUGCAAGCAAGGCAUCAUGUAGGGCAAGCUUAGCAAGACUCCAAUAUGACGUUAUAGCAUCGUUCAUGGAUGGCAGCGCAGGUUCCAGUUUGACGCUUUUGGAACCCAGGGCUCUGUCAAAAGCAACACCACCUUACCUCCACAAGGCCAAUAAUCAAUCACAGGACCAUUGGCAGCUCGAGAAACUGUUCUUAGGGUAUUUGCCACGUUAUUCUAGUGCUCGGGCGCAGCAAAUGUGACGAACGGUUCAGACGCUUACGAGGCAAAGAAAUGCGCUCAAGAUGAGUUGAGAAGCUCUUAACACAGGCUUAUUUAGGUAUAUGCCUUAUGCACUUUGCUUUCUUUUAACAUCUUGGCUCUCCGAUCGUUUCUAUUCCGUACGUACACCCUUAAUAAUUAUAACGCUACCUGCAUGCGACUCUCCAAAGAAAUGUACGCACCUUUUCCCCAAUAUAUUUUUGAUCUACACCGGGCUUACAUUUGUCCACGGUGCUAAAGGACGCGACCUUCGUGUUUCGUUGUCGACUACAUGUUUAGCAUCAAAAUGAGGGAUCGUAACAUGUUAUUUUUAAAGAGCAUUAUACUAUGGACUGGAGAGUCGUUCAUGCUAAGACUUUGAUUACUU